UACGUAGGGGGCAAGCGUUGUCCGGAUUUACUGGGCGUAAAGCGCGCGUAGGCGGAACGUUAAGUCCGGUCUGAAAGCCCCCGGCUCAACCGGGGAGGGUGGCUGGAAACUGGCGUUCUUGAGGGCGAGAGAGGAGGGUGGAAUUCCUGGUGUAGCGGUGGAAUGCGCAGAUAUCAGGAGGAACACCAAUAGCGAAGGCAGCUCGCUGGGACGUAACUGACACUGAGGCGCGAAAGCGUGGGGAGCGAACAGG
rnacentral:rRNA from 1 species